rnacentral:rRNA from 1 species
CACGAGCGGCGAACGGGUGAGUAACACGUGGGUGACCUGCCCUCCACUCUGGGAUAAGCCCGGGAAACUGGGUCUAAUACCGGAUAGGACCACUGAUCGCAUGGUUGGUGGUGGAAAGUUUUUUCGGUGGGGGAUGGGCCCGCGGCCUAUCAGCUUGUUGGUGGGGUGAUGGCCUACCAAGGCGGUGACGGGUAGCCGGCCUGAGAGGGCGACCGGCCACACUGGGACUGAGACACGGCCCAGACUCCUACGGGAGGCAGCAGUGGGGAAUAUUGCGCAAUGGGCGGAAGCCUGACGCAGCGACGCCGCGUGGGGGAUGACGGCCUUCGGGUUGUAAACCUCUUUCGCCAGGGACGAAGAGCAAUUGACGGUACCUGGAGAAGAAGCACCGGCCAACUACGUGCCAGCAGCCGCGGUAACACGUAGGGUGCGAGCGUUGUCCGGAAUUAUUGGGCGUAAAGAGCUCGUAGGCGGUGUGUCGCGUCGGCCGUGAAAACUUGGGGCUUAACUCUGAGCGUGCGGUCGAUACGGGCAUCACUUGAGUUCGGC